GAGCGUGUAGUGUAAUGGUAGCAGUAUCACCCUGUCACGGUGAAGGAGGGGUUCGAGUCCCACACGUUCG
rnacentral:tRNA from 1 species